UGGGUGACCUGCCCUCAGCUCUGGGAUAAGCCUGGGAAACUGGGUCUAAUACCGGAUAUGACUCCUCAUCGCAUGGGUGGGGGGUGGAAAGCUUUAUUGUGGUUUGGAUGGACUCGCGGCCUAUCAGCUUGUUGGUGAGGUAAUGGCUCACCAAGGCGACGACGGGUAGCCGGCCUGAGAGGGUGACCGGCCACACUGGGACUGAGACACGACCCAGACCUCCGUACGGGAGGNAG
rnacentral:rRNA from 1 species